UAUGUACCUGCUUUUAAAUUAUGUUAUCGCGAUACGGAUAAUUGCUCAUCAUACCGUAGCUUUGCCGUGCGUCUAUAUAGUGCCUACCGCAUGGCAAGCUCGUGUUGUGAGCGUGAAAACGUGAGCGUGUAUGCGAAACUAAUGGGACCAUGUUGUUUAUUUGUGUACGGAAGUCACAUUGCACUAUCAGUCCAAACGCCAGGUAAUCUUUAUCGCCGCUAUAAUGCCCAGUGCGAUAAAAGGGCGACAGGAUGUCUAACUGAAGCAACAAAGCGUAUACUCCAGAUAACAUCCAUGGCCAAACAACAACGGACCAUUCCGGAGCAGUAGAACGCUGCAUAUUCAAUUAGCUGCUCCACACUAGCCGGCACAUCGAGAGUGCACAUUCAGUGCACGCUCUGUACGCGUGGGAAUCGGUCUACCUUUAUAUAAACGUUACCCUGGCUGGCCUGGCACUGCAUAGAUAACACUCACUAAAACAGAACAGCUAGAACACCGGUUUUGGCUAAUAAUUUAAUGAUUUUAAUAUUCAUGCAACAAUCCCGCUGAUCGAUGUUUGGGCUUACUUAUCAAACUAUUCAACGGCUGUAAUACAAAUCAGCAUAAAAAUGGAGUACGAGUAUCUGAAGCAAAUGGCAAGCGUUCCGAUUAUCUUCCUUCGGAGCGACACCUUUUGGGAAUCUGGACUGCGGAUUGCCGGAGUUGUGGCGCUGACCUAUGUGGCGGUGCAAGUGGUUGAUCGCGCGGCUUUCGCCUUGCAAGCGUACAAAACGAUUACUGGGGCGGAAGCGCCUCGCUCUCGAUGAAUCUCGAUAACUUUUAUCAUGUGAUCCAUUUCACAUAAUUUUGUCGUUUCUGUCCCUGCCAUAUUUCCCACCUACUACCAUGAUGCCAUGAUUGCCAUCUAUCUGGAUUGCCACCCGUUUUCCAUAACCACUGCGAUUUCUGCACGCACCGAAUCUGCGGUUAUAUCUAGCAUGCUCUAUUGAUAAUUCUCUAGUACGUAUUUGGAUAAUUUACGUACUGCCUAACUUUAUGGUUUUUGUUAUCAGACAAUGUCAAAAUCAUUUUCAACUGCAUAUUUUAUCUGUAUCUCAUGUCUUUAAUGUGAAUCAACGUUACCAACAUCAUUUUCUUAGUAUUUUCGCUUCGGAUGCUUCGUUUUGGAUGCUGGAACCUUUAAUUCGAUAUCUGAGCUGUGUAGAACCGGCAGCAGCUUUUAGUUUUAAGUUGGCUUUUUAUACCCGUUUAAAGGCGUUCAUGAAUGAUAAUUGGAUGAAUAAAGCAUAAAUAUAGA